rnacentral:rRNA from 1 species
ACCGCUCAGUAACACGUGGAUAAUCUGCCCACAGGAUGGGGAUAAUCCUGGGAAACUGGGAAUAAUACCCAAUAGAUCAUUGGCACUGGAAUGUCCUUUGAUCCAAAUGCUUUUCUUACGCCUGUGGAUGAGUCUGCGUCCGAUUAGGCUGUUGUUGGGGUAACGGCCCAACAAACCUAUGAUCGGUACGGGUCGUGAGAGCGAUCGCCCGGAGAUUGGAUCUGAGAUAUGAUCCUAGGCCCUACGGGGUGCAGCAGGCGCGAAAACUUUACAAUGUGGGAAACCAUGAUAAGGGAAUUCCCAGUGUUCCUACAUAGUAGGAACUGUUUAGGUGCGUAAAAACACCUAAUAGAAAGGGCCGGGUAAGACCGGUGCCAGCCGCCGCGGUAAUACCGGUGGCUCGAGUGGUGGCCGCUAUUAUUGGGUCUAAAGGGUCCGUAGCCGGCUUGAUAAGUUACCUGGAAAAUCCGGUGGCCUAACCAUUGGGCGGCCAGGUGAUACUAUCAGGCUUGGGACUAGGAGAGACCAGAGGUACUCAUGAGGUAGGGGUGAAAUCCUGUAAUCUUAUGAGGACCACCAGUGGCGAAGGCGUCUGGUUAGAAUAGGUCCGACGGUGAUGGACGAAGGCUGGGGGCGCAAACCGGAUUAGAUACCCGGGUAGUCCCAGCAGUAAACGAUGCCAGCUAUGUGUUGCUGAAACCAUGGGUUUCAGCAGUGCCGAAGGGAAGCCGUGAAGCUGGCCACCUGGGAAGUACGGCCGCAAGGCUGAAACUUAAAGGAAUUGGCGGGGGAGCAC